rnacentral:lncRNA from 1 species
UCUGCUGUAGUUGUACCAUUUCCAACAGUAUCAGGCAUUCCUUUUAUGGUACUCGAGGAAUCAAGCUUAUCAGAUGCAAGCAGUAGCACAUCUGAGCUCACUGCAGUGUAAUCCCGGACUUCAAUUGCAUUAUCUGUCAUGUAAGAAUUUACCUGCAUAAAAUGCGCAAGAAACAUACAAGUUACACGUUUAGCUAUUGGGUAUGGAGGCCGGCUAGAACACAUUUUACUUCAAUAUGUGUUCCUCACACAUUCAGAAUCGGAAGAAACUCAUGAUAACACGAGAAGCACUAGAAUGACCCCG